AGGACGAACGCUGGCGGCGUGCCUAAUACAUGCAAGUCGAGCGGACCGACGGGAGCUUGCCCCCUUAGGUCAGCGGCGGACGGGCGGGUAACACGUGGGUAACCUGCCUGUAAGACUGGGAUAACUCCGGGAAACCGGGGCUAAUACCGGAUGCUUGAUUGAACCGCAUGGUUCCAAUCAUAAAAGGUGGCUUUCAGCUACCACUUACUGAUGGACCCGCGGCGCAUUAGCUAGUUGGUGAGGUAACGGCUCACCAAGGCGACGAUGCGUAGCCGACCUGAGAGGGUGAUCGGCCACGCUGGGACUGAGACACGGCCCAGACUCCUACGGGAGGCAGCAGUAGGGAAUCUUCCGCAAUGGACGAAAGUCUGACGGAGCAACGCCGCGUGAGUGAUGAAGGUUUUCGGAUCGUAAAACUCUGUUGUUAGGGAAGAGCAAGUACCGUUCGAAUAGGGCGGCACCUUGACGGUACCUAACCAGAAAGCCACGGCUAACUACGUGCCAGCAGCCGCGGUAAUACGUAGGUGGCAAGCGUUGUCCGGAAUUAUUGGGCGUAAAGCGCGCGCAGGCGGUUUCUUAAGUCUGAUGUGAAAGCCCCCGGCUCAACCGGGGAGGGUCAUUGGAAACUGGGGAACUUGAGUGCAGAAGAGGAGAGUGGAAUUCCACGUGUAACGGUGAACUGCGUAGAGAUGUGG
rnacentral:rRNA from 1 species